rnacentral:rRNA from 1 species
AGAGUUUGAUUCUUGCUCAGGAUGAACGCUAGCGGCAAGCUUAACACAUGCAAGUCGAGGGGCAGCAUGUCCAGCAAUGGAUGAUGGCGACCGGCUGAAAGGGUGCGUAACGCGUGAGCAACAUGCCCUAUACAGGGAGAUACACCAGGGAAACUUGGUCUAAUAUCCCAUAGCAUUCAUUGAAGGUAUCUUUAAUGAAUUAAAGCUUCGGUGGUAUAGGAUUGGCUCGCGUGACAUUAGCCAGAUGGUGAGGUAACGGCUCACCAUAGCAAUGAUGUCUAGGGGUUUUGAGAGGAAGGCCCCCCACACUGGGACUGAGACACGGCCCAGACUCCUACGGGAGGCAGCAGUGAGGAAUAUUGGACAAUGGAUGGAAAUCUGAUCCAGCCAUGCCGCGUGCAGGAAGACGGCCUUAUGGGUUGUAAACUGCUUUUAUACGGGAGCAAUAAGGGUUACGAGUAAUCCGAUGAGAGUACUGUAUGAAUAAGGAUCGGCUAACUCCGUGCCAGCAGCCGCGGUAAUACGGAGGAUCCGAGCGUUAUCCGGAAUUAUUGGGUUUAAAGGGUGCGUAGGCGGCCAUUUAAGUCAGCGGUGAAAUUUUGCAGCUUAACUGUAACAGUGCCGUUGAUACUGUUUGGCUAGGAUUUGGUUGUAGUGUGCGGAAUGUGUGGUGUAGCGGUGAAAUGCUUAGAUAUCACACAGAACACCGAUUGCGAAGGCAGCACACUAAGUCAUUAUUGACGCUGAGGCACGAAAGUGUGGGGAUCAAACAGGAUUAGAUACCCUGGUAGUCCACACUGUAAACGAUGAUAACUCGCUGUCGGCGAUACACAGUCGGUGGCCAAGCGAAAGC